ACACCUGGAAGGAAGAAGACCUGAGGGGACGAAGAAGAGCCGCUGGAGGACGAGGAGAGUGUCGCGAGCGUGCGAGGGGCUUCAAUUUCUGAAGGUCCGCUGCAUUGUGCGUGCCGUGACAGGUACGGCCGCCGCAAGUCAACUGAUCUGACUUAAGCGCCAAGUAUUAUUUAUAUAGCAUCGUGGCGGCAUGUGUCGAGAGCUCCGACUCGCGCUACGAGGUAUCGUGCACGCGUAUCGUGCGUACCGUUUCGCUCCCGAAGCCCCCUCCCCCGGCACGGGGGGAGGGGGGCACCACCCGGUAAGGGAGGAGAGCGAGGGUUCCGCCUUCGCCGUUCAUUCAGUCGGCCGAUUGACAGCCGAUGGGUAAUCCGGCUGUCAGGUACCACGCAUGUCGCUCCACGAGACGACAUCCACCCUGAUGGAUGCUGUCGGGGAGGACGUGCCGCGCGGGGGCUGCGGAGAGGAGGGAACCCGAUCGAGGGCACGAGACCGAUUCCGCAUCGCGGGCGUUUAAGUCGCCGAGCGGAAACCCGAACGCUGCUCUGCGACUAACUCGAUGCGCGAAUGCGCUUGCGUGCUCCAAGGGAAUAUCCGCGUGCAGGCUUGAAAUCAAAUUGUUUUAAAUCACUAGAGGAGUCGCAACGGCGUAUUUGGCGUUACCCGAUUUGCGAUUUGCAUCGCUCAUCGACAAGACGAUAUUUGAUAAAAAACGAGGACUCUUCGUGAAGAAAGAGUGUGACGCUACGCGACCAUGAAUCUCAUGUGGGAGUAGCGUGAGGUCGAUGAAUUUGGUUGAAUCACGGCCGUCCUUAGUCUUCGCAGUUCACCUUCCAGACGAGCGUUGUACGAGAGCGCACGAGAGCGCGGAUGAUCAUCGCAUAAAUUAAGAACCGCACGCAUUAUUCAUCGGAGGGUCGUGUGUUCGUUUCGAAACAUCCAUCUUUAUUUGAACCUGGGACGUACAUUAAAAUAAUAAAUACCCACGGCCCGAUCGUACCGUGUCGCCGAUCUUAAAACAAAAAAUGUAUAUAAGAGCGUUUCUCUCUCACAUGUAUCUCGGUAUAAAAAUCUUAGAUCGGUUUCCUAUUUGUCACACGCGCAUGCAAAGUUCAUUAAUGCGUACAUAUCUUUGCCGUGAGAUUAGAUUGACUUCGCGGAUAAUAUCUACAUCAUUUCUAACUGAAUAACAGAUUUUGUUUUACCAAUUACUGAUUUAAAAGAUCCAGUUGUGAUUGUAAACCUAUGCAUGCUUGCAGGCAAAGAAAGAAAUUUUUGAUGAAUAAAUGCAUAAUUCAUAACAUAAUGCUGAUUUAAUCGCGUAAUUGUUACAGCAUAAUUUUAAUAGUAAACUAUGUCAUAGUCAACAAAACACUGGUAAUUUUUUUCUAAGACAGCAAUGCACAUAUUAUGUAUAAAAUAUAUAUAAAGUUUAUUAUAAACUUAAAGGUAUUUAUUUGGUCUACCGUAUAUAUUACUUGCUCGAGUUUAUAUCACGAAAAAUCAUUAUUAGUGUUUCAUUCAAUCAAUCGGGCAUUCAAAAUUCAAGGCAUGGAAAAAAAAGAUUAAUAUUGCAUUAUUGGUAAUAAAAAGAUUACUUGGUAAAAUCAUUGGUUUUUGGCACACGUUUAAUAGCUAAAUAGCUCUCGAUUAGUUAGAUAGGG